UAAUGGGGGAUAGCCCGGGUAAACCCGGAUUAAUACCGCAUACGUCCUACGGGAGAAAGCAAGGGAUCUUCGGACCUUGCGCUAUUGGAUGAGCCUAAGUCGGAUUAUCUAGUUGGUGAGGUAAAGGCCUACCGUGGCGACCAUCCGUAGCUGGUCUGAGAGGAUGAUCAACCGCAUCUGGACUGAUACACGGCCCGAACUCCUACUGGAGGCUGCAGUGGGGAAUAUUGGACAAUGGGGGCAACCCUGAUCCAGCCAUGCCGCGAGUGUGGUUGAGGCUUUCGGGUUGUUUAGCCCUUUCUCUAAGGAGGAAAACCUUAUGGCUAAUAGCCAUGACGGUUGACGAUUUCUACAAAGGACCCACCGGUUAACUCCGUGCUCUCUGCCUGGGUAAGACGGAGGGUGCUCUUCUUGAUCCGAAUUACUGGGCGUAAAGCUCGCGUAGUUGUGUUG
rnacentral:rRNA from 1 species